rnacentral:lncRNA from 1 species
AAAGCAUUCUCUGGGUCUCCAACAGUGGCCAUAGCCUUGGCAGUCAAUGCUUUAACCUUUGGGUUUGGGACGCCCUACUGCUUCACCUGGGGCCUUGCAGGGGACAGGAGUGCUUGGCUGUGUGCCCAGGUCCCUCGCCUCUGAUCAGGCUCUGUCUGUGGACUGGAUUGGUGCACGAGGACCCGAAGUGCCCCUGGGGCUGGCACUGCUCCUCCAGCCCUGGCAGCCUCCCCAGGACCGAACUGGGGGGCCGCAGGAGCACAGUUGAGAAGGUGCUGGGGUCUCCUGUCCAAAGGGAAGCAGCUCCUCAGGAAACUGGGCUCUGGGAGGAAGGAGUGAAGCUGUGGCCCUUUCUGGAGUGGCCCCUGGAGACACCCAGGUCACUGCUGUGGCUGGACAGGGGAGGCCCUGCCCCGUCCCAGAGCUCCUGGUCUUUGUAGCGUUAACACAGUGGCACUUGGAUGGGAAUCAAAGAGAAUUGGUGAAGGUGGGAGCCUAGGGUGGGUCUUGAGGGGUGCGUCCUCUAGCUGGGCCCCUUCCCCUUGUAGGAGGGAAACUCCUCCCCGCAGUGAGUAACCUGACCGAGCUCACGGAGCCCCAGUGAGACCAGGAUGGGACUCAGGUCUCUUGACUCCCAGUCCACCCACCUAGUCCAAUCCUAGUUUCCCACCAGGCUGUGUAGGUCCCUUCUUUGACCCUCUCUGUACCCAGGACGGAACCCUGAGGGGAGAAGGGGCCUGUCUCCACAGUGGCUCUGGCUGUCCUGAUUGGAAAGCUUGCAUUGGAGUCUCCCGUGGGGGCGGCGGGCGGAACCUUGUAUAUAUGUACAUACUCAGUGCCUCACUCCAGCCCCUCCAUUGCGCCUCAGCCUCCACCGCACAGGCUGGGGAGGGAGAGGGCCAGGCCGGGAAGCGGGCCUCACCCCGCCCCGCUGUGCUCCACCCCUCCCUGCCCCGCCGCCUGGCC